CCUACGGGUGGCAGCAGUGAGGAAUAUUGGUCAAUGGCCGAGAGACUGAACCAGCCAAGUCGCGUGAGGGAAGACGGCCCUGCGGGUUGUAAACCUCUUUUGUCGGGGAACAAAGCGCGUCACGUGUUACUCAUUGAGAGUACCCGAAGAAAAAGCAUCGGCUAACUCCGUGCCAGCAGGCGCGGUAAUACGGAGGAUGCGAGCGUUAUCCGGAUUUAUUGGGUUUAAAGGGUGCGCAGGCGGAGGUGCAAGUCAGCGGUCAAAUUGCGGGGCUCAACCCCGGACUGCCGUUGAAACUGCAUCCCUUGAGUGGGCGAGAAGUAUGUGGAAUGCGGGGUGUAGCGGUGAAAUGCAUAGAUAUCACGCAGAACUCCGAUUGCGAAGGCAGCAUACCGGCGCGAAACUGACGCUCAGGCACGAAAGCGUGGGUAUCGAACAGGAUUAGAUACCCGGGUAGUC
rnacentral:rRNA from 1 species